rnacentral:tRNA from 1 species
AAUUAGAAAGCGAAGUUUGCGUUUAGUUUCGACCUAAAUUUUGGUGAGUACCUCUAAUUU